AUGUACCACCUACACUCCGGCUCCUGCACGCCGUCCACACCGACCUGACGACUGCUCGCUAGCUUUUGUUAGCC
rnacentral:sRNA from 1 species